ensembl:lncRNA
UUCAGGAUUAUUCCAUAAUGAUGCAUAUGACUAUCUAUAAUGUGAUGUCUGGCACAUUUUAUGAAUUUUGCUCCAAACAUGUCAUGAAUGUAUUUUCACUGGAUGUAUUUCCCAUUUAGCUCCAGAGCAUUGUGAAAGAAUGCUAAUGGGAUGAAGUGGUGAGGCUAGAUUCUAUUGUGUCUUGACCAGUCCAAUUCAGAAUCUGCCUCGUCCCAAUGUUUAAGCCAGUUUGGCGGUUUCAAAGGAGAAAUUAUACAUUCGCACAUUGGGUAAUCCAAGGCCCCCCUUGUCCUUUGGGGAGGUCAACCUGCUCAUUUUAAUCCUGGGUCUUUUUCCUUCCCAUAGAAAAUCCUUGAUAAUUUUGUCAUAUGUUUUAAAAAUAGGGUCUGGAAUGUUCACAGGUGUCAUCACUGAUAUAAAAUUGAACUGCGAAGCAAUAACCAUUUUGAAUAUAUUCACUUUACCCCAUAGAGAGCUGCAGCUGUUCCCAUUUGUCCACAUUAUUAUAUAUAUAUUUUUUAUCUUUGACAGCAGUACUUCAUAAUUCAACAUCAUUAUAUCCUCCAAAUUCUGCGUUAGUUUAAUGCCAAGUACUUCAUACCCUUCAGAAUCCAUUUAAAGCCAAAUUAGGUCACUGUAUGGGAAUGACAUGUUCUAGAUAGGCAUAGCCUCAGAUUUCUCCCAGUUUAUUUUGCAUCCUGACACACUUGAAUAUAAUUGAAUAAUACUCAUUAAUGGAGAUAGAGAUUUGAGAGUAUCACGGGAUAACAAAAAAAACAUAUCAUAACUUGUAUUCCAUCCCCUCCUCUACCUCCCUUACUCCCACAAUGUUUGGGUCUGCUUAUAAUAUUCAGCUGGAAACCCAUCCGCCCCUGGUGAUUUGCCAGACUUCAUAGAGGUUAUUGCAGCUUUGACCUGCUCUUGUUAAUGGGAAGGUCUAGAGACUCGGAUUGCAAUACAUCUAAUUUAGGUAACUCUAUAUUACAAAAUUUUUUUCAGUUUUUCUCCAUCCAGACUACCUGAAGAUGUAUAUAAAUGUUUAUAGAACUUCUGAAAACCUCUUUUAUUUCCUUUGUUAGUGAUACCAUAGCAUAUCCUUUCUUAAUUGCUGGAAUAAUGUUAGCAGCAUUUUGUGUUUUAAUUGUCUGGAAAGGAGCUUGCCCGCUUUUUCACCUCCUUCAUAAAAACCUUGUCCGUAGUCUAAAUAGUGCAUAUUCAUCUUUUUUAUUAUAUAUAAAAUAUUGUAAUUGAAAUUUGUAUUUACAAAUAUCCUGAUAUAGAUCAGUAGAGUAUCAUCUAGUCAGCUCCUUCUCCAAUGUACAAAUUGUUGCUUCAAAUUUCUUAACCGAGUCUCUUCCUUCCAUUUUUUUCUUUCUAGCUGUAUGUGCAAUCAGUUUUCCUCUAAUGUAUGCCUAGUGCUUCCCACAUUCAAUUAAAAGAAGGAAGUCAGAUCAUCAGCCAAUAAUGUGUUAAACUCUUCAUCUUGUAAUAAUGCAGUAUUUCAAUGCCACCUUCCCUUUCUACCAGCUUCCGUACUUAGCGCUAAAUCCAAUUCCAAUCGUGUGGUCUGACAAUACUAUUGCUCCAAUUUUACAAUUUAAUCUACUACCUGAUCAAUGAUAGAAUUCGAAAGCAAGAAAAAAGAGUGAGAUUUAUGGCAAUGAGAAAAAAUGAACAACCCCAAUUCCAAAAAAGUUGGGACGCUGUGUAAAAUGUAAAUAGAAAUAGAAUGAUUUGCAAACCUUAUAAACCCAUAUGUUAUUCACUAAUUGCAUUCUGUUUUCAUUUAUUUACAUUUUACAGUGUCCAAAAUUCUUUUCAAAAUUGGGGUUGUAUACUCUCUUUCUGUUGGAGUGACCAGGCGCCAUAUGUCAAUCAAUCCAAUAUCCUCUUUUAGCAUAAGAAGGGAAGAUCUAUCUCUUGGUAUAGAAAGUCCUUGAUAUUUACUCUUAACCAUAAUCCCAUCCAUAACCUGAAUAAAUUCCUCAGCCAAAAUUAUUUGCCCCUCUUUGUCACCAAGAAUCUUGUUUACUUUAUUAAUAAAACCCGGAUCUGUAUUAAUAGGGGCAUACACAUAAUAUCACUUUAGAUUAUAUGCAAUGUAUAUGACUUCCAUUAAUGAGGGUUUCUAUACACAUAAUCCUCUCAACAUCGACUUUAGUUUCUGUUAUCAUUACAAAAUUCAGCCUCUAAUUUAUCAGGAUCAUUACUUAAUUUUGUUUGCUCAUAAAUAAUGAAUAAAAUACAUUUGUACGGAAGCCCUAAGCGGCCAUGCAUUAUUAAUUUUUUUCUUUGUUGUUUUCUCGUGAUUGUGACAUAAAAAAAGCUGUUUCCUUGUGACGUAAAUUUAUCACGAGAAAAUCUCACGCUUUGUGAAUGGGACUGGUGUUACAUGCAAGUUGGCAUCUACACCAUUAUAAAUAUAAUAAUUUCCUGUUGUAGAGAUGGAUUUUAUCUCCACAUUAAGAGAGAGGGAUAUCCUCUUCUCAAGUGUCGGACACUGGAGUGGCAGUCGUCAAUCCUGCAGGGAUGAGGUAUAUUUUUGUAGGCCAACCCGGAAGUUAUUAUCACCCUGGUUCCCUCGACAAAAAUCCAAUAAGAGUUUUCCAGUGAAUUUGGAUUAUUGCAGAAAAUAAACACUGUGACUAACAAGUAUAAACACAACAAGGCUGUAGUAGAUUAGUUUUCCUGUUUGGCGUGAUGAUGUUUAAUGUCCUCGACAACCUCUGUAAUACCAUUUAGCCACUUGUUAGCAACUGUCUCUUUCAAGACACGUAAAAGCUUUAAAAAAAAAAAAAAUCCUGAGUGGGGUAUUACUGAUGUGUUUUAGUGGUUCACAAACUGGGGUACGUGAGGUGACGGAGGGGGUACGGGAGCAAAAGGCUGAGAUUUACUGUUCAUUUAAUUCCGCCUCACUGAAUAACAUUAAAAUUCUAAUCCAUGUUUUUCUCACGGCCAAAAAAUAAACUUGUGCCCCCUCCAGUGUACAAACAGCAAAAUUGCAAUGUUAUAAAGGUCAAAUAUAUGACAUCCAGUCAAAUUAUCCUGUCAAAACACAUUUUGUUGGACUGCAAAAGGUAUGAGGAGGAAAGAACUGAGCUAGAGAUGCAGAUUGGAAAACAAAACAUGACACUAGAGAACUUGCUGGGGAAAACAUCUGGGAAAAUGCACCGCCCCCUAAUAAACUAUUUAAAAAAUGCUGGGAUAAGUGAGAGACUUUAGUAAUCUAGUAGGAAUAUCUACUAUACAGCUAUUUGUCUCUUUAUUUUCUUUUAUUUAUGUAUUAUUGUGUUGGUAUUAUUAUUAUUAAUUUGUUUCUUUUAUUUUUUAUUUUAUUAUAUUUUCCUUAUUUAUUAUUUGGUUGUUUUUCUUUUCUUGCCCAUCUACUGCCUACACUCCAGUCCAGUAGGUGGCGGUAAUGCACCUUUAGUGGUUUGCCAACCGCCAUUAAAACAUGAAGAAGAAGAAGAAGAAGAAGAAAUUAUCCUGUCUUUCGCGGUCAAAACUGCAUCCACUCACAAUCAUGCGUCAGUGCGCAUCUUACCGCAUGUCAUUUAUCACCAGCACAUGGCUAUAUGAUGAAGUUAAGUAAUAGCUCGUAACCUUAAAAUGGAGAAGUACAAAGAUUUCGGCCCGCAACCACAGCAAGCACCGCUGAUCCCCAGUCCUCAGACAGCAGUGGCCCAGGUCCCUCUAACACCGCAUCCGUAGCAAGUGUACUCAUUGCUACUAGCCCAGGUCACACUGAUGCAGACAGCGAUGUAUGAGUUGAAACGCCAUCUCUUCUUCACAAGCAGUUCGCAGAAAAAACAUCAAAGAUGCGCAGAUAUGAUGAGAAAUAUAUUUCUUUGGGCUUUACAUACGCUGACAGUGAAGAAAAUCCCCAGCCACAGUGUGUAUAUGUGCAAACGUACUCUUUCAUAACUGCAUGAAACCAGCAUUUCUGCGCAGACAUUUAGAAACAAAGCAUGCCAUUUACUUUUUGCUAAAUAAACCUCGAGAGCUUUUUGAAAGACAUUUAAGACAACUCAGAAGUAGUAAGACCCUCAUAACAGUGUAGGAAAACCUAAAUAGGAAGGUCUGGAAGCAUCCUACAUGGUGAGCUACAGAGUGGCUGAGACAGGAAAACCCCAUACUAUUGUGGAGGACUUCAUUCUUCCUGCUGCAGCUGAUAUAGCUGGUUUAAUGCUUGGCGAAAAGCCCCCAAAACAAAAAAACAAUAGAGAGGAUGCCAUUUGGUAAGGUGAAAUUGAUUAAAUUUAUAUUUCUCAAUUUAUUUAAUCAUUCCUCUCUUUCCCUUGUAAACAUUACACAAUCAUACAUGUUCAACAGUCUUCACCACAUGUCAAGCAUAAUCAUGUUUGAUGUUUCCCUAUUUUCAGCAACGAAUGAUUUAAUCCAGAAUGUCCUAUUCGGAGCCGAGUGAUAAUUGUAUUUUCUCUCCUAUUUUUUGAGACCUAUUCUCCCUUUCCCAACCUGUUUUUGGCUAUUGAAUAGGUGCCUUCCCUUUUUUCCUUUGUCCCACAUUUCACAUUCACAAGUUCUCUCAUUCUUCCUUCUACUGCUUCUUUACCUAGUGGUAUAUGGUAUAUAUGGUAUAACUUUAACAUCCACAUGAUCCAUUGUCCACUAUUUCAUUUCCUCAUACUCCCACAUGUGCUGCUACACAAAGAAAUCUCAGAACCAUCCCUAGUUUCUGAAUUCUAAGCAGAUGUGUAAGUAUCUCAUAUACUAAAUCUUGUCUUGAAUCAGACUUCCCAUUUAAUAAGCUAUUUAAAGGUGAUUGAGAGUCUGGACAAAUAGCAGCAAAAUCACUAUAAACUCUGUUGUAAAAACUGAUACAUAAUUAGUUGUCCAUUUUUUUAAUGCUGCCUUUGAACCUCUUAAUAUAUACCACCGCAGCUGUUUUUUCUAAUGUAGGAUCUUUUGAACCAUUGGUGAAUAUGUGGGGCAUUGAAGAGUAUUCCUGAUCUAAAUACUGCUGUACAAUAACCUCCUUAGGUAUAUAUGUUUCAUUCUUAACUUUAUAUUAUAGAUGGAAAUUGACUUGAGCCAUGGGGAACAACCAGGGAGGUUUAUUUAGUACUACAAUUGUUGGAUUAACUGAAGUUUCUGUAACUCCCAAAUUCAUAGACUCUUUAUUCGCUGUCCAACCAAAACUUCUUAUAUUAUUAUUCCCACACUUCCAGCACUCUUGUAGUAUUUCCUUAACUGGGUGUGUCUCAGAAUGUCCUUUCAUAUUAAUCCAAUAAUUCAUUGUUAAUUUUAACUUGCGUAUACACAUGGGCAUUUCUCCCACCUCCAUUUGCGCUGCUGUUAUUGGAGAGGAUACAAAAGCACCACAACAUAUUCUUAACAAUUGUGCCUGUACUGUUUCAAUUUUCCUCAUCAAGGCUAAUGAUGCAGACCCAUAUAUUAUAUAUCCAUAAUUCAGUAGUGACCUGAUCAAUGCACAAUAUAUUUGUUAUGAAGAUUUUUGACUAGCUCCCCAUUCCAUUCCUGCUAGACAUCUUAAUAAAUUAUUAAUUUUUUUGUUUAUUUAUAUAUAUUAUGACUGGUUAAUUGCUGUCUGGAAAGCAUGAAUCACAGAUCGAGCUUUUGCUGAUGUAAAUGGUGCCAUGGAACAGUUAAAACGUAGUCAUAAUAAUCACUAAGGCCUUGUAUAUAUUUCCAGGUUGCCAAGGGCAAACUGCUUUAUGUUUGUGUUCAUGUAUGUUUCAGUGACAGCAGAUGGCAGUGAAGAGAAGCAGCGUUAUUAGAUUAGACAUUCCCAAACUAGAUGUGUUUGUGGACAGUGGGGAUCUGUUCUCUGAUAUGCUGGGACACGUGAUAGGACUGACGGAAAGUCCCAGCUUUAUUUAUACUCAACAUCAUUCUGGGUUGUUCCCCUCAUACCAGUCAACGCUUUUAAUAAGAAGAAUUUGAACCUGUUUCACUAAAUUUUAAUGUUUAUGUGCGUCAGAACCUUUUUUUCAGCACAGAUAAUAAAAAACUGCACAACUUAAACACAGAGAGUAGUGUAUACAGGUAAGUGACACUCAGUGCCCCUGCUUUUUUUUUAAAGUUAUCAUUUGCUAGAAAAGAAACUCUCUAGAUUUUACCGGGCUGAUUGCUCAGAUUUAUUAUUUCCUACACUGUCAGUCAAAUGUUUACCUUUUUGGUUAAACUUAAAGAAAUGAGUUAAAUACCAUAGAAUUACAGACACAUACACUCACCAUCCAGUUUAUUAGAAAGAUCUGUACACGGGAGUCAUUCGUGCAGUUAUCCAGUCAGCCAAUCAUGUGGCAGCAGCACAAUGUAUAAAAUCACGCAGAUACAGGCCAAAGCUUCAGUUCUCUGUAAACUUUAGAGACUGUUGUGUGUGAAAAUCCCAGGAGAUCAGGAGUUUCUGAAUUAUUCAAAUCAGCCCCUCUGGCAGCAACAACCAUGCCACAUUUAAGGUCACAGGGAUGCCACCCCCCACCCCCCAUUCUGAUGCUUGACAUUAACAUUAACUGAAGCUCUUGAUCUGUAUCUGCAUUAUUUUUUGCAUUGAACUGUUGCCACAUGAUUGGCUGAUUGGUUAACUGCAUGAAUGAGCAGAUGUACCUAUUAAAGUGGAUGACAUGUUUUGUGUUACACUUGACAAUAUGUCUAAUAUCAACUGUAAGAUCAGUGUAGACUUAGAGUAACAUCUCCAUGGCACCAGUACCUCACUUAUGGAUCUGUGAAAGAUGAAGACAGACGCCACAUUGAGAGAGAUAAAGGAGUGGCUGGCACACCCGUGUCACACACUUCAAAGCCGGGCAAGGAGGAGCAGGAACCUCGAUGGAUGGAUGGAUGUCGAGUACACAGGAAAAAAAUCACGAGAAUAUAACUUUUGUUAUAUCGAGAUCACCAGAAAACAAGAAAGAAAAAAAUAAUAAUGCAUGGCUGCUUAGCGUUUCCCUGUUUAAUGGCGGUUGACAAGCCAAUUAAUGGUGUAUUACCGCCACCAAGUGGACUGGAGUGUGAAGCAUUAAUAAGAAGGGGUAUAUAAUAUGUUUAUUAAAUCCUAUGUUCCAAUCCUGUUCCCCUGAGAUAAUUAAGUAUUUUUCUUUGUAUUUUUGACUGUCCUGAAGCACAAUUCAAUAGGUUUGGUAAGGUGAAAUUGAUUAAAUUUAUAUUUCUCAAUUUAUUUAAUCAUUCCUCUCUUUCCCUUGUAAACAUUACACAAUCAUACAUGUUCAACAGUCUUCACCACAUGUCAAGCAUAAUCAUGUUUGAUGUUUCCCUAUUUUCAGCAAUGAAUGAUUUAAUCCAGAAUGUCCUAUUCGGAGCCGAGUGAUAAUUGUAUUUUCUCUCCUAUUUUUUGAGACCUAUUCUCCCUUUCCCAACCUGUUUUUGGCUAUUGAAUAGGUGCCUUCCCUUUUUUCCUUUGUCCCACAUUUCACAUUCACAAGUUCUCUCAUUCUUCCUUCUACUGCUUCUUUACCUAGUGGUAUAUGGUAUAUAUGGUAUAACUUUAACAUCCACAUGAUCCAUUGUCCACUAUUUCAUUUCCUCAUACUCCCACAUGUGCUGCUACACAAAGAAAUCUCAGAACCAUCCCUAGUUUCUGAAUUCUAAGCAGAUGUGUAAGUAUCUCAUAUACUAAAUCUUGUCUUGAAUCAGACUUCCCAUUUAAUAAGCUAUUUAAAGGUGAUUGAGAGUCUGGACAAAUAGCAGCAAAAUCACUAUAAACUCUGUUGUAAAAACUGAUACAUAAUUAGUUGUCCAUUUUUUUAAUGCUGCCUUUGAACCUCUUAAUAUAUACCACUGCAGCUGUUUUUUCUAAUGUAGGAUCUUUUGAACCAUUGGUGAAUAUGUGGGGCAUUGAAGAGUAUUCCUGAUCUAAAUACUGCUGUACAAUAACCUCCUUAGGUAUAUAUGUUUCAUUCUUAACUUUAUAUUGUAGAUGGAAAUUGACUUGAGCCAUGGGGAACAACCAGGGAGGUUUAUUUAGUACUACAAUUGUUGGAUUAACUGAAGUUUCUGUAACUCCCAAAUUCAUAGACUCUUUAUUCGCUGUCCAACCAAAACUUCUUAUAUUAUUAUUCCCACACUUCCAGCACUCUUGUAGUAUUUCCUUAACUGGGUGUGUCUCAGAAUGUCCUUUCAUAUUAAUCCAAUAAUUCAUUGUUAAUUUUAACUUGCGUAUACACAUGGGCAUUUCUCCCACCUCCAUUUGUGCUGCUGUUAUUGGAGAGGAUACAAAAGCACCACAACAUAUUCUUAACAAUUGUGCCUGUACUGUUUCAAUUUUCCUCAUCAAGGCUAAUGACGCAGACCCAUAUAUAUCCAUAAUUCAGUAGUGACCUGAUCAAUGCACAAUUUAUUUGUUAUGAAGAUUUUUGACUAGCUCCCCAUUCCAUUCCUGCUAGACAUCUUAAUAAAUUAUUAAUUUUUUUGUUUAUUUAUAUAUAUUAUGACUGGUUAAUUGCUGUCUGGAAAGCAUGAAUCACAGCUGGAGCUUUUGCUGAUGUAAAUGGUGCCAUGGAACAGUUAAAACAUAGUCAUAAUAAUCACUAAGGCCUUGUAUAUAUUUCCAGGUUGCCAAGGGCAAACUGCUUUAUGUUUGUGUUCAUGUAUGUUUCAGUGACAGCAGAUGGCAGUGAAGAGAAUCAGCGUUAUUAGAUUAGACAUUCCCAAAGUAGAUGUGUUUGUGGACAGUGGGGAUCUGUUCCCUGAUAUGCUGGGACACGUGAUAGGACUGACGGAAAGUCCCAGCUUUAUUUAUACUCAACAUCAUUCUGGGUUGUUCCCCUCAUACCAGUCAACGCUUUUAAUAAGAAGAAUUUGAACCUGUUUCACUAAAUUUGAAUGUUUAUGUGCAUCAGAACCUUUUUUUUCAGCACAGAUAAUAAAAACUGCACAACUUAAACACAGAGAGUAGUGUAUACAGGUAAGUGACACUCAGUGCCCCUGCUUUUUUUUUUUUAAGUUAUCAUUUGCUAGAAAAGAAACUCUCUAGAUUUUACCGGGCUGAUUGCUCAGAUUUAUUACUUCCUACACUGUCAGUCAAAUGUUUACCUUUUUUGGUUAAACUUAAAGAAAUGAGUUAAAUACCAUAGAAUUACAGACACAUACACUCACCAUCCAGUUUAUUAGAAAGAUCUGUACACAGGAGUCAUUCGUGCAGUUAUCCAGUCAGCCAAUCAUGUGGCAGCAGCACAAUGUAUAAAAUCACGCAGAUACAGGUCAAAAGCUUCAGUUCUCUGUAAACUUUAGAGACUGUUGUGUGUGAAAAUCCCAGGAGAUCAGGAGUUUCUGAAUUAUUCAAAUCAGCCCUUCUGGCAGCAACAACCAUGCCACAUUUAAGGUCACAGAGAUAACACUUUUCUCCCUGUUCUGAUGCUUGACAUGAACAUUAACUGAAGCUCUUGAUCUGUAUCUGCAUUAUUUUUGCAUUGCACUGUUGCCACAUGAUUGGCUGAUUGGAUAACUGCAUGAAUGAGCAGACGUUCCUAUUAAAGUUGAUGACGUGUUUUGUUUUACACUUGACACUAUGUCUAAUAUCAACUGUAAGACCAAUGUAGACUUAGAGUAACGUCUCCAUGGCACCAGUACUUCACUUAUGGAUCUGUGAAAGAUGAAGACAGAAGCCACAUUGUAGACAGCAAAGAGCUUCAGAAACACUUGGAUCUCUAUAGCUGCACUUUAGCUGCAGACAUCACACUUUUUCUUUUGUAGAAAGCCUGUGAGAAGACUGCUUCUGUGGUACAGCAUGUCAUUAGGAG